rnacentral:rRNA from 1 species
UACGGAGGAUCCGAGCGUUAUCCGGAUUUAUUGGGUUUAAAGGGUGCGUAGGUGGAUUGGUAAGUCAGUGGUGAAAGUUUGCAGCUUAACUGUAGAAUUGCCGUUGAAACUGCCGGUCUUGAGUGCAAAUGAGGUAGACGGAAUGCGUCGUGUAGCGGUGAAAUGCUUAGAUAUGACGCAGAACUCCGAUUGCGAAGGCAGCUUACUGGGAUGCAACUGACGCUGAGGCACGAAAGCGUGGGUAUCAAACAGGAUUAGA